AGUCAAGUAAUUAAGUGCAUGUGGUGGAUGCCUUGGCAGUCAGAGGCGAUGAAAGACGUGAUAGCCUGCGAAAAGCUCCGGGGAGGCGGCAAAUAUCCUUUGAUCCGGAGAUGUCUGAAUGGGGGAACCCACCUACUUUAAGGUAGGUAUUGCAACAUGAAUACAUAGUGUUGCAAGGCGAACGAGGGGAAGUGAAACAUCUCAGUACCCUUAGGAAAAGAAAUCAAUUGAGAUUCCCUCAGUAGCGGCGAGCGAACGGGGAUCAGCCCAUUAAGUUAUGUGUGUUUUAGUGGAACGCUCUGGGAAGUGCGAACGUAGAGGGUGAUAUUCCCGUACACGAAAGGGCACACAUAAUGAUGACGAGUAGGGCGAGGCACGUGAAACCUUGUCUGAAUAUGGGGGGACCAUCCUCCAAGGCUAAAUACUCCUGACUGACCGAUAGUGAACCAGUACCGUGAGGGAAAGGCGAAAAGAACCCCUGUGAGGGGAGUGAAAUAGAUCCUGAAACCGCAUGCAUACAAGCAGUGGGAGCACCUUCGUGGUGUGACUGCGUACCUUUUGUAUAAUGGGUCAGCGACUUAUAUUCAGUAGCAGGUUAACCGUAUAGGGGAGCCGUAGAGAAAUCGAGUCUUAAUAGGGCGUUUAGUUGCUGGGUAUAGACCCGAAACCAGGCGAUCUAUCCAUGAGCAGGUUGAAGGUUGGGUAACACUAACUGGAGGACCGAACCCACUGUCGUUGAAAAGCCAGGGGAUGACUUGUGGAUAGGGGUGAAAGGCUAAUCAAGCCUGGUGAUAGCUGGUUCUCCCCGAAAGCUAUUUAGGUAGCGCCUCGGACGAAUACCAUAGGGGGUAGAGCACUGUUUCGGCUAGGGGGUCAUCCCGACUUACCAAACCGAUGCAAACUCCGAAUACCUAUGAGUACUAUCCGGGAGACAGACUGCGGGUGCUAACGUCCGUAGUCAAGAGGAAAACAAUCCAGACCGCCAGCUAAGGCCCCAAAAUCAUAGUUAAGUGGGAAACGAUGUGGGAAGGCAUAGACAGCUAGGAGGUUGGCUUAGAAGCAGCCACCCUUUAAAGAAAGCGUAAUAGCUCACUAGUCGAGUCGGCCUGCGCGGAAGAUGUAACGGGGCUAAAACUAUGUGCCGAAGCUGCGGAUUUACUUUGUAAGUGGUAGGGGAGCGUUCUGUAAGCCGAUGAAGGUGUGUUGAGAAGCAUGCUGGAGGUAUCAGAAGUGCGAAUGCUGACGUGAGUAACGACAAAACGGGUGAAAAACCCGUUCGCCGAAAGACCAAGGGUUCCAGUCCAACGUUAAUCGGGGCUGGGUGAGUCGACCCCUAAGGCGAGGCCGAAAGGCGUAGUCGAUGGGAAAAUGGUUAAUAUUCCAUUACUUCUGUGUAAUGCGAUGAGAGGACGGAGAAGGCUAAAUCAGCCUGGCGUUGGUUGUCCAGGUGAAAGGAUGUAGGCAUGUAUCUUAGGCAAAUCCGGGGUACUCUAUGCUGAGAUCUGAUAGCAAGCUGUACUUGUACAGCGAAGUGGUUGAUGCCAUGCUUCCAGGAAAAGUCUCUAAGCUUCAGUUACACAGGAAUCGUACCCGAAACCGACACAGGUGGUCAGGUCGAGUAGACCAAGGCGCUUGAGAGAACUCUGCUGAAGGAACUAGGCAAAAUGGUACCGUAACUUCGGGAGAAGGUACGCUGUUGUUGGUGAUGGAACUCGCUUCCUGAGCUGACGACAGCCGCAGAAACCAGGCCGCUGCAACUGUUUAUUAAAAACAUAGCACUCUGCAAACACGAAAGUGGACGUAUAGGGUGUGAUGCCUGCCCGGUGCUGGAAGGUUAAUUGAUGGGGUUAGCGUAAGCGAAGCUCUUGAUCGAAGCCCCAGUAAACGGCGGCCGUAACUAUAACGGUCCUAAGGUAGCGAAAUUCCUUGUCGGGUAAGUUCCGACCUGCACGAAUGGCAUAAUGAUGGCGGCGCUGUCUCCAGCAGAGGCUCAGUGAAAUCGAAAUCGCUGUGAAGAUGCAGUGUACCCGCGGCUAGACGGAAAGACCCCGUGAACCUUUACUGCAGCUUGACACUGAACUUUGACCUUACUUGUGUAGGAUAGGUGGGAGGCUUUGAAGCUGGAACGCUAGUUCCAGUGGAGCCGUCCUUGAAAUACCACCCUGGUAAUGUUGAGGUUCUAACUCUGUCCCGUGAUCCGGGACGAGGACCGUGUCUGGUGGGUAGUUUGACUGGGGCGGUCUCCUCCUAAAGAGUAACGGAGGAGUACGAAGGUGCGCUCAGCGUGGUCGGAAAUCACGCGUAGAGUAUAAAGGCAAAAGCGCGCUUAACUGCGAGACCCACAAGUCGAGCAGGUACGAAAGUAGGUCUUAGUGAUCCGGUGGUUCUGUAUGGAAGGGCCAUCGCUCAACGGAUAAAAGGUACUCUGGGGAUAACAGGCUGAUACCGCCCAAGAGUUCAUAUCGACGGCGGUGUUUGGCACCUCGAUGUCGGCUCAUCUCAUCCUGGGGCUGAAGCAGGUCCCAAGGGUAUGGCUGUUCGCCAUUUAAAGAGGUACGCGAGCUGGGUUUAGAACGUCGUGAGACAGUUCGGUCCCUAUCUACCGUGGGCGCUGGAAAUUUGAGAGGAUCUGCUCCUAGUACGAGAGGACCAGAGUGGACGAACCUCUGGUGUACCGGUUGUGACGCCAGUCGCAUCGCCGGGUAGCUAUGUUCGGAAGGGAUAACCGCUGAAAGCAUCUAAGCGGGAAGCCUACCUCAAGAUAAGAUUUCCCUAGGACUUUAUGUCCUCUAAAGAGCCGUUCGAGACUAGGACGUUGAUAGGUUGGAUGUGGAAGCAUAGUGAUAUGUGAAGCUGACCAAUACUAAUUGCUCGUGAGGCUUGACUAU
rnacentral:rRNA from 1 species